rnacentral:rRNA from 1 species
GACCUCAAAUCAGGUAAGAAUACCCGCUGAACUUAAGCAUAUCAAUAAGCGGAGGAAAAGAAAAUAACAAUGAUUCCCUCAGUAACGGCGAGCGAAGAGGGAUAAGCUCAAAUUUUAAAUCUGUUGGGUUCCGCUUAACAGAGUUGUAUUUUGAAGAAACGUUUUCUGCAUCCAGGAUUAGCCUAAAUCCUUUGGGAUAAGGUAUCAUGGAGGGUGAGAAUCCCGUUCAUGGUUAAUCUUAAGGAAGCUCUACGAUACGUUUUCCAAGAGUCGAGUUGUUUGGGAUUGCAGCUCAAAAUGGGAGGUAAAUUUCUCCUAAGGCUAAAUAUUGGCGAGAGACCGAUAGCGAACAAGUACCGUGAGGGAAAGAUGAAAAGAACUUUGAAAAGAGAGUUAAACAGUACGUGAAAUUGUUGAAAGGGAAACGAUUGAAGUCAGUCAUACCAACGGGAAAUCAACCUUUUGAGCUUGGUCUCGUGGGUUUUGAAGAGUUUCAAAGCCUUCGGAUUCGCGGGAUUGGGAUCUCUUGGUGUACUUUUUCGUACGGUUAGUCAACAUCGGUUUUGAAUGUCAUAAAAUGACUGGAGGAAUGUAGCUUCGAUCUCGUAUUGAAGUGUUAUAGCCUUUGGUAGAUGUGAUGUUUGAGACCGAGGAUUGCAACGGAUACCCUUCAGGGCUAUUCGUCUGAUCUCUGAUACGUUGCCCUGAUGUUGAAAGCUUGCUUAUGAUGUUAGGGUAUUACGGUCAAAAGGUUAGAACGAAUUACAUUCGUUAAGGAUGUUGACGUAAUGACUUUAAACGACCCGUCUUGAAACACGGACCAAGGAGUCUAACAUAUAUGCGAGUGUUUGGGUGAUUAAACCCUUGCGCGUAAUGAAAGUAAUUUUGGUGAGAUCCGGGAAAAAAUUUUCGGAGCAUCAUCGACCGAUCAGGAUAUUU